UGGGGAAUAUUGCACAAUGGAGGAAACUCUGAUGCAGCGACGCCGCGUGAGUGAAGAAGUAAUUCGUUAUGUAAAGCUCUAUCAGCAGGGAAGAUAGUGACGGUACCUGACUAAGAAGCUCCGGCUAAAUACGUGCCAGCAGCCGCGGUAAUACGUAUGGAGCAAGCGUUAUCCGGAUUUACUGGGUGUAAAGGGAGUGUAGGUGGCCAUGCAAGUCAGAAGUGAAAAUCCGGGGCUCAACCCCGGAACUGCUUUUGAAACUGUGAGGCUAGAGUGCAGGAGGGGUGAGUGGAAUUCCUAGUGUAGCGGUGAAAUGCGUAGAUAUUAGGAGGAACACCAGUGGCGAAGGCGGCUCACUGGACUGUAACUGACACUGAGGCUCGAAAGCGUGGGGAGCAAACA
rnacentral:rRNA from 2 species